rnacentral:rRNA from 1 species
GUAGGUGGCAAGCGUUGUCCGGAAUUAUUGGGCGUAAAGCGCGCGCAGGCGGUCCUUUAAGUCUGAUGUGAAAGCCCACGGCUCAACCGUGGAAGGUCAUUGGAAGCCGGGGGACUUGAGUACAGAAGAGGAAAGCGGAAUUCCACGUGUAGCGGUGAAAUGCGUAGAGAUGUGGAGGAACACCAGUGGCGAAGGCGGCUUUCUGGUCUGUAACUGACGCUGAGGCGCGAAAGCGUGGGGAGCAAACAGGGAUUAGAUACCCUGGUAGUCCACGCCGUAAACGAUGAGUGCUAAGUGUUAGGGGGUUUCCCGCCCCUUAGUGCUGCAGCUAACGCAGUAAGCACUCCGCCUGGGGAGUACGCCGCAAGGCUG